UUCCGGUUGAUCCUGCCGGAGGCUACCGCUAUUGGAGUUCGAUUAAGCCAUGCGAGUCCAGAGCUUUCGGAGCUCGGCGUACCGCUCAGUAACACGUGGGUAACCUAACCUAUGCAGGGGAAUAACCUCGGGAAACUGAGAAUAAUGCCCCAUAGUCCACUACGCCUGGAACGGUGAGUGGAUGAAAGCUCAGGCGGCAUAGGAUGGGCCUGCGGCGUAUCAGGUUGUAGGGGGUGUAAAGUACCCUCUAGCCCUCUACGCGUACGGGUGUUGGGAGACAUAGCCCGGAGAUGGAUUCUGAGACACGAAUCCAGACCCUACGGGGUGCAGCAGGCGCGAAAACUUGGCAAUGCGAGCAAUCGUGACCAGGGAACUCCAAGUGGCUGGGGUAAGACCCAGUCUUUUCAGAACUCUUCAAAGGUUUUAGAAUAAGGGGUGGGUAAGGACGGUGCCAGCCGCCGCGGUAAUACCGGCGCCUCAAGUGGUAGUCGCUUUUAUUGGGCCUAAAACGUCCGUAGCCGGUCUGAUACAUUCGUGGGUAAAUCAACCAGCUUAACUGGUUGAAUUCUGCGAGGACGGUCAGACUUGGGACCGGGAGAGGUGUGGGGUACGCUCAGGGUAGGGGUAAAAUCCUGUCAUCCUGAGCGGACCACCUGUUGCGAAGGCGCCACACUAGAACGGAUCCGACGGUCAGGGACGAAGCCUAGGGGCACGAACCGGAUUAGAUACCCGGGUAGUCCUAGGUGUAAACGCUGUGGACUUGAUGUUGGGGGUGCUCCGAGCACUCUCAGUGUCGAAGCGAAGGUGAUAAGUCCACUGCCUGGGAAGUACGGUCGCAAGGCUGAAACUUAAAGGAAUUGGCGGGGGAGCACCGCAACCUGAGGAUUGUGCGGUUUAAUUGGAUUCAACGCCGG
rnacentral:rRNA from 1 species